UUUCUACUCCCUCCGUCCCAUAUUAAGUGACGCAAUAUUACAUGUAUCUAAACAUUUUUUGCGUAUAAAUACAUUCAUAUUUGGACAAAUUGGAAUCACUUAAUAUGGGAUGGAGGAAGUAUAUA
rfam:Brachypodium distachyon strain Bd21 chromosome 3, whole genome shotgun sequence.